rnacentral:rRNA from 1 species
UCGAGGAUCUUUCGCAAUGGGCGCAAGCCUGACGGAGCGACGCUGUGUGAGUGAUGAAGGCCUUCGGGUUGUAAAACUCUUUUGUUUAGGAACAAGAAAGAUCUGUGAAUAACGGGUCAAUUUGAGUGUACUAGAAGAAAAAGUACCGGCUAACUACGUGCCAGCAGCUGCGGUAAUACGUAGGGUACAAGCAUUAAUCGGAAUUAUUGGGCGUAAAGGGCGCGUAGGCGGGGAUGUAAGUCAGGUGUGAAAUACCAAAGCUCAACUUUGGUGCUGCAUUUGAAACUGCAUUUCUUGAGGACUGACGGAGAAAGCGGAAUUCCACGUGUAGCGGUGAAAUGCGUAGAUACGUGGAGGAACACCGGUGGCGAAAGCGGCUUUCUAGUUUUUACCUGACGCUGAGGCGCGAGAGCAAGGGGAGCAAACAGGAUUAGAUACCCCCGUAGUCC